rnacentral:rRNA from 1 species
GAUGAACGCUGGCGGCGUGCCUAAUACAUGCAAGUCGAGCGAACGGACGAGAAGCUUGCUUCUCUGAUGUUAGCGGCGGACGGGUGAGUAACACGUGGAUAACCUACCUAUAAGACUGGGAUAACUUCGGGAAACCGGAGCUAAUACCGGAUAAUAUUUUGAACCGCAUGGUUCAAAAGUAAAAGACGGUCUUGCUGUCACUUAUAGAUGGAUCCGCGCUGCAUUAGCUAGUUGGUAAGGUAACGGCUUACCAAGGCAACGAUGCAUAGCCGACCUGAGAGGGUGAUCGGCCACACAGGAACUGAGACACGGUCCAGACUCCUACGGGAGGCAGCAGUAGGGAAUCUUCCGCAAUGGGCGAAAGCCUGACGGAGCAACGCCGCGUGAGUGAUGAAGGUCUUCGGAUCGUAAAACUCUGUUAUUAGGGAAGAACAUAUGUGUAAGUAACUGUGCACAUCUUGACGGUACCUAAUCAGAAAGACACGGCUAAAUACGUG